rnacentral:rRNA from 1 species
CCUACGGGAGGCAGCAGUGGGGAAUAUUGCGCAAUGGGCGAAAGCCUGACGCAGCGACGCCGCGUGAGGGAUGAAGGUCUUCGGAUCGUAAACCUCUGUCAGCAGGGAAGAAUGGUCACUGUGCUAAUCAGCAGUGAAUUGACGGUACCUGCAAAGGAAGCACCGGCUAACUCCGUGCCAGCAGCCGCGGUAAUACGGAGGGUGCGAGCGUUAAUCGGAAUUACUGGGCGUAAAGCGCUCGUAGGCGGUAUGUCAAGUCAAGGGUGAAAUCCCCGCGCUCAACGUGGGAACUGCCUUUGAAACUGGCAAACUGGAGUGUGUGAGAGGAUAGUGGAAUUCCAGGUGUAGGAGUGAAAUGCGUAGAUAUCUGGAGGAACAUCAGUGGCGAAGGCGACUAUCUGGCACAUAACUGACGCUGAGGAGCGAAAGCGUGGGUAGCAAACAGGAUUAGAUACCCUUGUAGUC